rnacentral:lncRNA from 1 species
CUGAAAACGGAGCUGGCUCCCUCAGUCCGAAUGAGCGCCGGGACAUUUUUGCAGGGAUUCCAUCCAGCUCUGUCGCCCCGUUGGGGCCAGAUCCAUCUUUUCUUCUCUUUCGGGAAUUCAGCCUGGAGGAGGUCGGCGGCUCCAUCUUGCCAAGCACGUCCAGAAGAAACUGUCCCGGCCCGCAGCCGCCGCCGCUCCCGCCGCCGCCCCGCCCCGCUCCCGCCAACG